rnacentral:rRNA from 1 species
GAUGAACGCUGGCGGCGUGCUUAACACAUGCAAGUCGAACGGACUUAUGAUGAAGCCUAGCGAUUUAUAAGUUAGUGGCGGACGGGUGAGUAACGCGUGGGUAACCUGCCUUAUACAGGGGGAUAACACUUAGAAAUAGGUGCUAAUACCGCAUAAGCGCACAGUAUCGCAUGAUACAGUGUGAAAAACUCCGGUGGUAUGAGAUGGAUCCGCGUCUGAUUAGCUAGUUGGUAAGGUAACGGCUUACCAAGGCAACGAUCAGUAGCCGACCUGAGAGGGUGACCGGCCACAUUGGGACUGAGACACGGCCCAG